rnacentral:misc_RNA from 1 species
AUGAAUUCAACCUCGUCAACGGCAGCAAUGCCUUGGCAGGUUUCAUAUCCAUAACACCUGUGAACUGUAAGAUGUGGUGAUUUCGAUCCCCAUCUGCCCCAUUUAAACAUUAGUAGUAACAAAAGUAGUAUUAUUAUAAUCUAAUA